UACAAACUUGUAAUCGCUAUC
rnacentral:piRNA from 1 species